UACGGGGGGGGCAAGCGUUGUUCGGAAUUACUGGGCGUAAAGGGCGCGUAGGCGGCCCUCUAAGUCAGACGUGAAAUCCCACGGCUCAACCGUGGAACUGCGUCUGAUACUGGAGGGCUUGAAUCCGGGAGAGGGAUGUGGAAUUCCAGGUGUAGCGGUGAAAUGCGUAGAUAUCUGGAGGAACACCGGUGGCGAAGGCGGCAUCCUGGACCGGUAUUGACGCUGAGGCGCGAAAGCUAGGGGAGCAAACAGG
rnacentral:rRNA from 1 species